rnacentral:rRNA from 1 species
CCUCAGCCUGGUUGGUAAUCAGGUGGCGAGUGCAAGUGUACAAGGGAGCUUGACUGUGAGACCGACGGGUCGAGCAGGUGCGAAAGCAGGAACUAGUGAUCCGGCCAUGGCACGUGGGUGCGUGGUCGCUCAACGGAUAAAAGGUACCCCGGGGAUAACAGGCUGAUCUUGCCCAAGAGUCCAUAUCGACGGCAUGGUUUGGCACCUCGAUGUCGGCUCGUCGCAUCCUGGGGCUGGAGUUGGUCCCAAGGGUUGGGCUGUUCGCCCAUUAAAGCGGUACGCGAGCUGGGUUCAGAACGUCGUGAGACAGUUCGGUCCCUAUCCUCUGUGCGCGCAGGAAAUUUGAGAAGGGCCGUCCCUAGUACGAGAGGACCGGGAUGGACGAACCUCUGGUGUGCCAGUUGUACCGCCAGGUGCAUGGCUGGUUAGCUACGUUCGGAAGGGAUAACCGCUGAAAGCAUCUAAGCGGGAAGCCUGCUUCAAGAUGAGAUUUCCACGCCCCCCCGUGGGGUGAGAGGCCCCCGCCAGACUAGCGGGUCGAUAGGCCAGAGGUGGAAGCACAGCAAUGUGCUCGCGAGCCGACUGGUACUAAUGGGCCAACACUAAACAAC